CCUCAUGAAACUCUGGUGAAUUCUCUGAUGGACCACCCAGAAGUCCGCCUUCAGUAAUGAGUGACUUGCUGCUUCAGCUGCUGGGUGUGUUGCCAGAAGCUGGCCCACCGCUCUCAGACUUCUUUAAGGACUGCCUUGCCAAGAAAACUGCCUCAUUCAAAGUCAUGCUGAAAGGGACCAAGAAAGAAGAGGAAGUAGACAGUGAGAAGCUUCUCUUUUGAGGGACAUGAUCCAGUUCUACUCACAUCUUACUGCCAUGCCUAGCCGAAAUCCUGACUGGAUCACCAAGUGCCUUGCUGAUACGUGUGGGUGGUGGUUUAACAGAAAAAAACCUAACGGUGUGGAACAUAUAUUCCAGAAGAGGAUGACAGCA